rnacentral:misc_RNA from 1 species
UUUACUGCCGUGUCCUGCU